GGUGCUGCUGCCUGCUGCUGCUGCCACUCGCUCGGGCUGCUGCUGUGGCUGCUCCUGGCUGCUGCGCUCGGCUGCUGGAAAAGCUUCCUGCAGAUUGCUAGUUCCAGUGAGGAGAUGGAGCCAGGAGGACAGGAAAUGGGGCUCUGUUUGUGCAGGGUCUCUUGGGAUCUGAGGUUGGGAAACUGGACCACGGUACCAAGCACAGCCCACGCCAAGAGGAAAAGGGCUGGUCUGCCCCAUGUCAGAGAAAACUGCACAUCAGAGCCACUCAGAGUAGAGUGCCAACCAUUGAAGGACCCCUGGGUUGGAACCCUCCUCAGAGGUCUAACAACUCCACCAAGCCCUUCUUGGGCCAGCAGCUGCCAUCACCUGGGAACAACAGACUCCAGUACCAGGAAGCCUCCAGACCUUCAGCCUCAGACUAGGGCUGCAUCAUUGGUCCAGCCUAUAGGAAGUUGGUGAGGCUGGUGUGAGGAAUUUCAUCAGUGUGUGAUGCUUCCAGCUACUGGGACCUACAGCAUGCAGAUGGUCACUGUGGGACUCUUCUGUCUGCAGUUUUGUAAACCAAUCCAAUGAAUGUUUCCAUAAUCAUUUUAUAAUUCCAUAUAUAACAAUAUGUGGUGUGUAUUACCACAUAUAAGCUUCUGUGUGUUAUGUUCUUCUAGAGACCCCCCAAUACAGGAAGUAAUCUAUAUACUAUCUUAA
rnacentral:lncRNA from 1 species